rnacentral:rRNA from 1 species
UACGUAGGGUGCAAGCGUUAAUCGGAAUUACUGGGCGUAAAGCGUGCGUAGGUGGUUCGUUAAGUCUGUCGUGAAAGCCCCGGGCUCAACCUGGGAAUGGCGAUGGAUACUGGCGGGCUAGAGUGCGGUAGAGGGUGGUGGAAUUCCCGGUGUAGCGGUGAAAUGCGCAGAUAUCAGGAGGAACACCAAUGGCGAAGGCAGCACUCUGGGACGUGACUGACGCUGAGACGCGAAAGCGUGGGGAGCAAACAGG